GAAAUGCGAUAAGUAGUGUGAAUUGCAGAAUUCAGUGAAUCAUCGAAUCUUUGAACGCACAUUGCGCCCCUCGGCAUUCCUUGGGGCAUGCCUGUUCGAGCGUCAUUUAACCCUUCAAGCUCAGCUUGGUGUUGGGUGCUUGUCCCGCCUCCCGCGCGGCGACUCACCUCAAAGUCAUUGGCAGCCCGCACCCGCCGGCCAUGAGCGCAGCACAGUCGCGCUCCGGGCUCCGGCAGGGUCGGCUCCCCAUAAGCAACCCCCCAAAAUUGACCUCGGAUCAGGUAGGAUUACCCGCUGAACUUAA
rnacentral:misc_RNA from 1 species